UAGUACUGGACUCGACCUUGAUCACUAAGUUGUCAUUUCCACUAGAGAACUGUGUCUGUAAAAUGCACCUUGCGUUAAGAUAUAUCUUGUUGGUUGUGAUAAACUAUUUAUUUUCGUUUAUUAUUGCUGAUGAACCCAUUUUGGUGACCGAUCAGUUGAAGAGGACAAAAAGACAAUCCCCUGAGUUUCCGGAUGAUAUUUUUAGGUUUUUAAAUUAUUUAUGGAACCCCGGAUUAUAUUUUUGGUACGACCCAACAGGGAACAUCAGGAUACCCGGACCGAUUAUCACCAACGCCACAACUUACAAAGAAAAUGUAACACAACCAAUUAUAAAGGAGUCAGAAUUUACGGCUGAAGAAAGAAGAAAGCUUAAUGUUUCUUUAUCGAGGAACGAAACAGGUGUAGCUUACAAACUGUUCACUCCGAAUAUUGAAGAAAAUGAUACUUCUAUGAUAAAUGUAUCCUUAGUUUCUGUCGGUACAAAUGAUUCUUUUAUUAUUGACACCAGAAUUGGUACUGAUGUUUUACAAACACUUACAGGUGGAGUGGGAUAAAUUUGAUCUUAUUAUUUCAUUGGAACAUAUAUAUUUUGUUAUUUAAAAAAUGUCCUUAAAGAUAUUUAAUAAUUUUAAUAUUAAAUUAUGAACAAAAUUAUUAGCUUAAUUAAACGUAUCUAUUGCACAGUGCCAAAAAUUGUAUGAAAAAAUUUGUCCCCUGUUAUACUAAUCAAACUUUCUAAAUUGAAUUUAAAACUUUAAAUCAUUCUUGUAAUCUUUAUGCAUGAGAUCAAUCUUAUGCAACUAGGUUUAUUUAAAGAAAGUAAAGCGUACAAAAUUAUAUAUUCAGAAUUGAAUGUGACAACUUUUAUAUCAAUUAAGUUGUAAAAAUUAUGUGUUAAUAUUUUAAUGGCAAUAAAAUGUUGUAUGUCAAUUUAUUUAUUUAUUUUUUUGUAUAUUGACCCACAAUUAGCACUUUUAAGCAAAGUUUGUUCAAGUGAAAUAAGCUUUAAGGCGUUUAAAAAUAUCCCUUCUAUAACUUAUAUUUUAAUAUUUAUAAUUAAUUAAUUAAUUAAUAAUUUAGUUUUAAAAUUUAUUUUAAUUAAUAUCAUAAGUUCACAUUUUUAGUUAACCUAACCCACCACCUGCCAAAGUAGCAAUAGUUGCACUUCCAACAACUAAUAUGGGAAUUGUUGUGGAAUUUGUUCCUGUUGUUGUUACAUUUGUAGUGGAUGUUUUAGUGUCGUGUGGUUUGAUGAUGCGUAGCGGUGGUAAGA